GAGCACGACCACACUUGAGUGAAACCACCAUAUCCCGUCCGAUCUGUGAAGUUAAGCCCUCACAGGCUCGGUAAGUGAUGACUCGGGAACCCUGGGUGCCGUGCUCC
rfam:Leishmania infantum JPCM5 genome chromosome 5